CCUACGGGAGGCAGCAGUGAGGAAUAUUGGUCAAUGGGCGCAAGCCUGAACCAGCCAAGUAGCGUGAAGGAUGACUGCCCUACGGGUUGUAAACUUCUUUUAUCAAGGACUAUAGUGCGGCACGUGUGCCUUUUUGUAUGUACUUUAUGAAUAAGGAUCGGCUAACUCCGUUCCAGCGGCCGCGGUAAUACGGAGGAUCCGAGCGUUAUCCGGAUUUAUUGGGUUUAAAGGGGGCGUAGAUGGGUUGUUAGGUAAGUUGUGAAAGUUUGCGGCUCAACCGUAAAAUUGCAAUUGAUACUGGCAGGCUUGAGUACAGUUGAGGUAGGCGGAAUUCGUGGUGUAGCGGUGAAAUGCUUAGAUAUCACGAAGAACCCCGAUUGCGAAGGCAGCUUACGAAACUGCGACUGACAUUGAUGCUCGAAAGUGUGGGUAUCAAACAGGAUUAGAUACCCCAGUAGUC
rnacentral:rRNA from 1 species